AUCCUGCACAAAGUGGGAAAUGUGGCUUACCACUUGCUUCUUCCUGAGGGGACAAAGAUACAUCCGGUCUUUCAUGUUAGUGAGCUUAAACGACACAUUGGUCCGACCGUGGUCCCCUGCGAAAAUCUUCCAUUGGUCACAAAGGAUGGACACAUCAAGCAAGAGCCGGUGUUGGUGUUACAGACGCGUCUGAUACCUAGGAACAAUCUUCCAGUGAUCCAAUGGCUUGUUCAAUGGGAAAAUCUCCCUCCUGACGACUCUUCUUGGGAAGAUGCAGACUUCAUCAAGCAUACCUUCCCUCAUUUCUUCAAGCAAACAGUAGAAGGCUGGCGCCAAAACAAGAUUACUCCUUGA
rnacentral:rRNA from 1 species